AGCUCCAGUAGCGUAUAUUAAAGUUGUUGCAGUUAAAAAGCUCGUAGUUGGAUUUCUGACUUCAAACACCUGACCCUCCCUCGCUAGAGGUGUGUGUGCCGGAGUGUUUGUAUCAUCCUUUCAGUGAUCGGUUCUACCCUUAACCGGGUCGGAACUGCUAACUGGAUCUUUUACUUUGAAGAAAUUGGAGUGUUUAAAGCAGGCUUACGCCAGAACAUAUUAGCAUGGAAUAAUAAUUUAGGACUUUUGUUCUAUUUUGUUGGUUUCUAGGACGAAAGUAAUGAUUGAUAGGGAUAGUUGGGGGUGCUAGUAUUCGGCGGCCAGAGGUGAAAUUCUUUGAUCCGCUGAAGACUAACUUAUGCGAAAGCAUUCACCAAGGAUGUCUUCUUUAAUCAAGAAC
rnacentral:rRNA from 1 species